rnacentral:rRNA from 1 species
AUACGGAGGGUGCAAGCGUUAUUCGGAAUCACUGGGCGUAAAGGACGCGUAGGCGGGUUGGCAAGUCAGAUGUGAAAUCCUACAGCUUAACUGUAGAACUGCAUUUGAAACUGCUAACCUAGAGUAUGGGAGGGGGAGAUGGAAUUAGUGGUGUAGGGGUAAAAUCCGUAGAUAUCACUAGGAAUACCGAAAGCGAAGGCGAUCUCCUGGAACAUUACUGACGCUAAGGCGUGAAAGCGUGGGGAGCAAACGGAAUUAGAAACCCCAGUAGUCC